rnacentral:rRNA from 1 species
AUACGGAGGAUGCGAGCGUUAUCCGGAUUUAUUGGGUUUAAAGGGUGCGUAGGCUGUGCGUUAAGUCAGGGGUGAAAUGCCGUCGCUCAACGACGGAGCUGCCCUUGAUACUGGCGUGCUGGAGUACGGAUGCCGUUGGAGGAAUGAGUGGUGUAGCGGUGAAAUGCUUAGAUAUCACUCAGAACACCGAUUGCGAAGGCAUCUGACGAAUCCGUCACUGACGCUGAGGCACGAAAGCGUGGGGAUAGAACAGGAUUAGAUACCCUGGUAUUCCACGCCGUAAACGAUGAUGACUAACCGUCGGCGAUAGACAGCCGGUGGCCAAGCGAAAGCGAUAAGUCAUCCACCCGGGGAGUACGUCGGCAACGAUGAAACUUAAAGGAAUUGACGGGG